AUGGACAUGGACCAACUCUGCUUGAUGGCCUUAGCCACGAUUCUCCUGACAUUGAUUCUGAGGCAGGCUCUGGGCGGUAAGGGCACAGGAGCCAGGCUUCCUCCGGGUCCAUGGAACCUCCCCGUCAUCGGCAGCCUCCACCACCUGGUCGCCACGAAGCUGCCGCCGCACCGCGCGCUGCUCCGCCUGUCGCGCCGGCAUGGCCCGCUCAUGCUGCUGAGGCUCGGCGAGGUGCCCAACGUCAUCGUGUCCACCCCUGAGGCGGCGAUGCUGGUGCUCAAGACCAACGAUCUCACCUUCGCCACCCGUACGAGCGGCCCCACGCUGGACGUCGUCGGCAGCGCCAGCGAGGGCAUCAUCUUCGCGCCCUACGGCGAGCACUGGCGCCAGAUGCGCAAGAUCUGCGUCGUCGAGCUGCUCAGCGCGAUGCAAGUGCGGCGCAUCCAAUCCAUCAUGCAGGCCGAGAUCGCGCAUCUCGUGGAGUCGGUCGUCACCGCGUCCUCUGCCUCGCCGUCCGGCUCCGCCGUCGUCGACGUCGGCAAGGGGCUGGCCAGGCUGACCAACAGCGUCAUCGCGAGGGCGGUGUUCGGCGGCAAGUCUCGGCAGCAGGAGGCCUACCUCCGGGAGCUCGACGUAAUGGCGGUUCUCGGGGGAGGGUUCAGCUUGGUGGACCUUUUCCCGUCGUCCCGGCUGGUGCGGUGGCUGAGCAGCUCCGGCCGCGCCAUGAGGAGGCUCCAUUCCCGGAUGCAGAGCAUCCUAGGAGACAUCAUCCAAGAUCGCAAGGAGACCAAAGUACCGAAUGGUGCUUCUGAUGCUGCUACCGCUAGAGACAACGAGGACCUGCUUGACGUGCUCCUCAGGUUGGGCAAGGAAGACACCCUCAGUUUCCCUCUCACGUCAGACAUCAUCAGCGCCGUCAUCUUUGAUAUAUUUUCAGCUGCUACCGACACCACGGCUGCCACGCUAGAAUGGGCCAUGGCAGAACUCGUCCGCAACCCACAGGCAAUGGCUAGGGCGAAGCUCGAAGUCCGACAGACGCUCGGACAUCGCCGCAGCUCCACCAUCACGAGCGGCGACCUCGCCGGCCUGCACUAUCUUCGGAUGGUCGUCAAGGAAACGCUGAGGCUGCACCCCUCCGCGCCGCUGAUCCACCGGGCGAGCCAGGAGAACUGCCGGGUCAUGGGCUACGACAUACCCAAGGGCACCGCCGUCAUGAUAAACGCCUUCGCCGUGGGGAGGGACACGGCGCACUGGGGAGCGGACGCCGCGGAGUUCAGGCCGGAGAGGUUCGAGGGCGUGAGCGUGGAGUACAGCUCGCAAGGGCCGCACAUGGAGUUCAUCCCGUUUGGAGCUGGCCGCAGGCAGUGCCCUGGAGGCCUGUUCGCGACCACCAUGCUUGAGCUCGUGUUGGCCAACCUGCUGUAUCACUUUGACUGGGCGAUUCCCGGUGGGGCAGGCCCGGAGACACUGGACAUGGGCGAGGUGUUUGGGAUCAUCGUGCACACUAGGUCCAGCCUGCACCUGCAGCCAUCGUCAGCUUGCCAUCUACAAGACCAGACCACCGGUGAACUGUCCUAG
rnacentral:rRNA from 1 species